UCCGAUAUAGUGUAGUGGCUAUCACGGUUCGCUUUCAAAUUCUUUAAAAGAGCUUAGAGUUCCGAGCAGACCGGGGUUCGAUUCCCCGUAUUGGAG